rnacentral:tRNA from 1 species
GCCGGAGUAGCUCAGCGGUAGAGCAACGCUUUUGUAAAGCGAAGGUCGGAGGUUCAAAUCCUCUCUCCGGCUCCU